GACGAACGCCGGCGGCGUGCUUAACACAUGCAAGUCGAGCGAUGAAGCACCUUCGGGUGUGAAUUAGCGGCGAACGGGUGAGGAACACGUGAGAAAUCUGCCUUCAACUCUGGGAUAACUCCGUGAAAACGGGGCUAAUACCGGAUAUGAAACCUGCGGGCAUCCGCGGGUUUGGAAAGUUUUUCGGUUGAAGAUGAUCUCGCGGCCUAUCAGCUUGUUGGUGAGGUAAUGGCUCACCAAGGCGACGACGGGUAGCCGGCCUGAGAGGGCGACCGGCCACACUGGGACUGAGACACGGCCCAGACUCCUACGGGAGGCAGCAGUGGGGAAUAUUGGGCAAUGGAGGAAACUCUGACCCAGCGACGCCGCGUGCGGGAUGAAGGCCUUCGGGUUGUAAACCGCUUUCAGCAGGGAAGAAGCGAAAGUGACGGUACCUGCAGAAGAAGCACCGGCUAACUAUGUGCCAGCAGCCGCCGUAA
rnacentral:rRNA from 1 species